GAGUUUGAUCCUGGCUCAGAUUGAACGCUGGCGGCAUGCCUUACACAUGCAAGUCGAACGGCAGCACGGGAGCAAUCCUGGUGGCGAGUGGCGAACGGGUGAGUAAUAUAUCGGAACGUGCCCAGUCGUGGGGGAUAACGCAGCGAAAGUUGCGCUAAUACCGCAUACGAUCUACGGAUGAAAGUGGGGGAUCGCAAGACCUCAUGCUCAUGGAGCGGCCGAUAUCUGAUUAGCUAGUUGGUAGGGUAAAAGCCUACCAAGGCUUCGAUCAGUAGCUGGUCUGAGAGGACGACCAGCCACACUGGAACUGAGACACGGUCCAGACUCCUACGGGAGGCAGCAGUGGGGAAUUUUGGACAAUGGGCGCAAGCCUGAUCCAGCAAUGCCGCGUGAGUGAAGAAGGCCUUCGGGUUGUAAAGCUCUUUUGUCAGGGAAGAAACGGUGGACUCUAAUACAGAUCACUAAUGACGGUACCUGAAGAAUAAGCACCGGCUAACUACGUGCCAGCAGCCGCGGUAAUACGUAGGGUGCAAGCGUUAAUCGGAAUUACUGGGCGUAAAGCGUGCGCAGGCGGUUUGGUAAGACAGAUGUGAAAUCCCCGGGCUCAACCUGGGAAUUGCAUUUGUGACUGCCCGACUAGAGUGUGUCAGAGGGGGGUAGAAUUCCACGUGUAGCAGUGAAAUGCGUAGAGAUGUGGAGGAAUACCGAUGGCGAAGGCAGCCCCCUGGGAUAACACUGACGCUCAUGCACGAAAGCGUGGGGAGCAAACAGGAUUAGAUACCCUGGUAGUCCACGCCCUAAACGAUGUCUACUAGUUGUUGGGUCUUAAUUGACUUAGUAACGCAGCUAACGCGUGAAGUAGACCGCCUGGGAG
rnacentral:rRNA from 1 species